rnacentral:misc_RNA from 1 species
AAGUCGUAACAAGGUCUCCGUUGGUGAACCAGCGGAGGGAUCAUUACCGAGUUUACAACUCCCAAACCCCUGUGAACAUACCAAUCGUUGCUUCGGCGGGUCUCGCCCCGGCGCCCUCGGGCCCGGACUCAGGCGCCCGCCGGAGGACCCAAACUCUUGUCUUUAUGAGUAUCUUCUGAGUGACACAAGUAAAUGAAUCAAAACUUUCAACAACGGAUCUCUUGGUUCUG